AGCAGCCGCGGUAAUUCCAGCUCCAAUAGCGUAUAUUAAAGUUGCUGCAGUUAAAAAGCUCGUAGUUGAAUUUCGGGAUCAAUAUGUUGGUCGUGCCUCGGUACGUACUAGCUUAUUGGUUUCUCCCUUCUGACGAACCAUGAUGUCAUUUAUUUGGUGUUAUGGGAAAUCAGGACUGUUACUUUGAAAAAUUAGAGUGUUUAAAGCAGGCUCACGCUUGAAUACAUUAGCAUGGAAUAAUGAAAUAGGACGUUUGAUUCUAUUUUGUUGGUUUCUAGGAUCGACGUAAUGAUUAAUAGGGAUAGUUGGGGGCAUUAGUAUUCAAUUGUCAGAGGUGAAAUUCUUGGAUUUAUUGAAGACUAACUACUGCGAAAGCAUUUGCCAAGGAUGUUUUCAUUAAUCAAGAACGAAAGUUAGGGGAUCGAAGACGAUCAGAUACCGUCGUAGUCUUAACCAUAAACUAUGCCGACUAGGGAUCGGAUGAUGUUAAUUUUAAUGACUCAUUCGGCGUAC
rnacentral:misc_RNA from 1 species